ACAGUCACGUAACCUAAUAUGUUGAUAUCCCAGAUUCGAUUUACACAACGAUAUUAAAAGACAAUAGUACAAAUACAAGAUAUUACAGUUAAAAAUACAUAUUCUCACAUCCAUUACAAUUUAUAUACAAAGAUUCUCCAUGUUCUACAGGGUAUGACAAAGAUUUACAAGAUGUAACAACAUAGUAGUAUACAGGUGGAAACAACACUAACUAAUAGUAUUCACAAAGUUGUAUUUCAAUGCUAAGGUCUCAAGAAGUUGUUUGAUAGUUGACUUUUAGAUAAAUAAACUGUGAUAUUCACUAUAAACCGAUAGUGAAUGUUACAAGGUUAAAUUCAUAUCUUAUUGUAAAACUUCCCGCUCUUGUAAUUUUCGAGGUCAAAAUGAGGGUCCCAUUUAAAAGUUUUAAUUUGGCCUUCUAACGAUCUGGAAGUCAAGGUCAAGGUCAUUUUCAAGGUAAAGACAAGAUAGCCCCCUUUUCACCCUACAGCUUUUGUAUGAAACAAUUUUUUUAAGUGAUCCCAGCAAGUUUAGCGGCUUCGAUUGCUGGGAUCAUUAGCCGCAGAAGUCAUCUCUUUGCGUGUAUUUUAUAUUUGAUUGUACAAUUUGCUUAACUUAAGAAAUGUAAGUAGCUUAUUUAUGGUUUCAUUGUUAUUAGCUAAGAUAUUUUUCAGGUUGCCUUCAAUUCCAACAAUUAAACGAUUUUGUCUAUAGGUUGGGCAGUCUAUCAAUAUAUGUUCUACUGUGAGUAUUAACCUACAUCUUGAACAUCUUGGUGCAUUUUGACCUGUUAGUAGAUGACUCGACGUUAGUUAUUAAACAGUGUUACGUAAAACUGGAGUGAGAGGUGGAAGAAGACCGGCGCAGUAGAGCCACGGCGGGCCUGAGGCAUGUGAGGCACGGGGACGACAGGGUAAAGACGACACGACGAAACACGUCGGGUGUAAUUAUUGUAGUGGUAUGAUAUUAUUAAUAAAGGCGUUUCUGUUGAAA